rnacentral:rRNA from 1 species
AUCGAACGCUGGCGGCAGGCCUAACACAUGCAAGUCGAACGAGUGGCGGACGGGCGAGUAAUGUCUGGGAAACUGACUGAUGGAGGGGGAUAACUACUGGAAACGGUAGCUAAUACUGCAUACCUUCAGAUGGGCCCCGAUGGGAUGAGCUAGCUGGUGGGGUAACGGCGCACAAAGGGGACGAUCCCUAGCUGGUCUGAGAGGAUGACCGGCCACACUGGAACUGAGACACGGUCCAGACUCCUACGGGAGGCAGCAGUGGGGAAUAUUGCGCAAUGGGCGAAAGCCUGAUGCAGCCAUGCCGCGUGUGUGAAGAAGGCCUUCGGGUUGUAAAGUACUGUCAGCGGGGAAGCGUUACCCAAAGAAGAAGCAACGGCUAACUCCGUGCCAGCAGCCGCGGUAAUUC